UCAAUGAGGGUGAGAAUCCUGUUUGUCAUGUGCAGCCCUUUGUGCACGGUGUAUAUUUGCUGAGUCACACUCCUUGGCAUUGGAAUGCAAAGUGGGUGGUAAGUUUCAUGUAAAGGUAAACAUGCAAUUGAGACUGAUAGCACACAAGUACCAUGAGGGAAAUAUGAAAAGGACUUUGAAAAGAGAAUUAAAUGAGUUUGUAUUUGCUGAACACAAAGUAAACAGACUUGAUUUGCUUGGUGGGAGUGUUGCACUUGCUUGACAAGAGCUUUGGGCUGUGGGUGUAAUGAUUCUUUCUUUGCAUGCCAGUUUCUAUUUGUACAUCUGAUUACCUUUGCACAUGAAUGAUAAGUCUCCUGUGGGGGGUGGAUUGCAUGUGCAUGUAAUGAUUUGUGUUUUGAUAAAUGUGUCUGGUGUAUGUGUGUGUUCCUGUGCUUGGGGAUGCUUCCUUCCUUGGACUUACAAGCCCUGACACACACAUGCUGGCAAAAUGCUUCUGCUUGACCCGUCUUGAAACACGGACCAAGGAGUCUAACAGAUGUGCAAAGUUUGAAGGUGGUAUACCUUUGUGUGCAAUGAAAGUGUCAGCUGGGAUAUGUGCACCAGCACCCAAUUAAUUAGCGGACAGAGGUUUGAGUUGGAGCAUAUCUAUUAGGACCCGAAAGAUGGUGAACUAUGCCUGAACAGAAUGAAUUCAGAGGAAACUCUGAUGGAGGUUCGUAUCGAUACUGACGUGCAAAUCGUUCGUCAUAUUUGGGUAUAGGGGCGAAAGACUAAUCGAACCAUCUAGUAGCUGGUUCCCUCCGAAGUUUCCCUCAGGAUAGCUGGAGUUGCUCAGUUUUAUCAGGUAAAGCGAAUGAUUAGAGGAAUUGGGGACAGGUUUGUCUUUGACCUAUUCUCAAACUUUAAAUGGGUAAUAUGUAGUGGUUGCUGUAUGGAACUUCUAAGAUAAAUGGCAAUAUUGGGUGGGCCAUUUUUGGUAAGCAGAACUGGCGAUGAGGGAUGAACCUAAUGUGGGGCUAAGGUGCUUAAUU
rnacentral:rRNA from 1 species